GACGAACGCUGGCGGCGUGCCUAAUACAUGCAAGUAGAACGCUGAAGGAGGAGCUUGCUCUUCUGGAAGAGUUGCGAACGGGUGAGUAACGCGUAGGUAACCUGCCUGGUAGCGGGGGAUAACUAUUGGAAACGAUAGCUAAUACCGCAUAAGAUUGAAUAUCGCAUGAUAAUUGAUUAAAAGAUGCAAUUGCAUCACUACCAGAUGGACCUGCGUUGUAUUAGCUAGUAGGUGAGGUAACGGCUCACCUAGGCGACGAUACAUAGCCGACCUGAGAGGGUGAUCGGCCACACUGGGACUGAGACACGGCCCAGACUCCUACGGGAGGCAGCAGUAGGGAAUCUUCGGCAAUGGGGGCAACCCUGACCGAGCAACGCCGCGUGAGUGAAGAAGGUUUUCGGAUCGUAAAGCUCUGUUGUAAGAGAAGAACGAGUGUGAGAGUGGAAAGUUCACACUGUGAC
rnacentral:rRNA from 1 species